rnacentral:rRNA from 1 species
AGAUUGAACGCUGGCGGCAGGCCUAACACAUGCAAGUCGAGCGGUAGAGAGGUGCUUGCAUCUCUUGAGAGCGGCGGACGGGUGAGUAAUGCCUAGGAAUCUGCCUAGUGGUGGGGGAUAACGUUCGGAAACGGACGCUAAUACCGCAUACGUCCUACGGGAGAAAGCGGGGGACCUUCGGGCCUCGCGCCAUUAGAUGAGCCUAGGUCGGAUUAGCUAGUUGGUGAGGUAAUGGCUCACCAAGGCGACGAUCCGUAACUGGUCUGAGAGGAUGAUCAGUCACACUGGAACUGAGACACGGUCCAGACUCCUACGGGAGCAGCAGGUGGGGAA